AGAAUAUAGAUUAAAUUAAUAUAUUCAUUUAUAUUUUAUAAAUGAGUCUAUAUAUGCAAACUUUCGUGUCCAACGGAAAUUAACGUACUUUAUUCCAAUUAUUUUAAAAGAAUCCGUUGUUUUCUCUAAAGAAAACUUGAAAAUUACAAGGAAGUAAGGAUUUUGCAAUGUUAUUAUUAAUCAAUAAGAGUUACUUUUCCUUAUAUAUUUUCCUCACUGUUCUUCUAUUAAUGGAAAUCGGACGAUUCAGACUCCUGAAGACAAGUAUCUGAUGAAGAUGUCAUCACCUGACAAGAUUUUGUAGACGGAACAAAUGAUAAUGAGGCACAUGAUGUAGAAGGAGACUCUGUUGAAGUAGAUGACGAAGGCAAAUUGGAUUCUGUUUUCAGAAGUCCAUCGAUUACGUUACUUCUUUUCUUUUUCCUUUUGUGGCAAAACGAUUCCAAAUCGUUGUUUUAGAAUCUCUUCGUCGUUCGGGAUUUCCGGGGCUAGAACUUGAAGAUCUGUUGCAGACAAUUCUGUCAAAACAUCCUGAGGUUGUUCCAAUAUGAUGUUUGGACCACUAUCCUGAAAAGAAAUGGAAUUUAAGAUAAAAAUACCCAAAGUUUAAAAAAUUUUAAAUAGUAUUAUCGAUGAUUGUUCCAAGAAUAUUUUCAAAUAGUAAAAUGUCAGUAAGAUGACCGCGCAAUAAGGCUGUGGAAACUAAACAUCCGGAAUAAAAUUCAAUUUGGAUCCUUAGACUCGAAUUACUCACGUUACAAUUCGAACGAGUU